rnacentral:rRNA from 1 species
GACGAACGCUGGCGGCGUGCCUAAUACAUGCAAGUCGAGCGCGGGAAGCUUGCGGAAUCUUUCGGGAGGAAGUGAGCGGACCGAGCGGCGGACGGGUGAGUAACACGUGGGCAACCUGCCCGUAAGACGGGGAUAACCCCGGGAAACCGGGGCUAAUACCGGAUAGGUGACCUUUCUGCAUGGAGGGGUCAUGAAAGGCGGCGGAAGCCGUCGCUUACGGAGGGGCCCGCGGCGCAUUAGCUAGUUGGUGAGGGAAGGGCUCACCAAGGCGACGAUGCGUAGCCGGCCUGAGAGGGUGAACGGCCACACUGGGACUGAGACACGGCCCAGACUCCUACGGGAGGCAGCAGUAGGGAAUCUUCCGCAAUGGACGGAAGUCUGACGGAGCAACGCCGCGUGAGUGAGGAAGGCCUUCGGGUCGUAAAGCUCUGUUGUUCGUGAAGAAGGGGUUGGCCAGGAAAUGGGCCGACAUUGACGGUAGCGAACCAGAAAGCCCCGGCUAACUACGUGCCAGCAGCCGCGGUAACACGUAGGGGGCAAGCGUUGUCCGGAAUGAUUGGGCGUAAAGGGCGCGCAGGCGGCCUCUUAAGUCUGAUGUGAAAGCCCACGGCUCAACCGUGGAGGGACAUUGGAAACUGGGGGGCUUGAGUGCAGGAGAGGGGAGUGGAAUUCCACGUGUAGCGGUGAAAUGCGUAGAGAUGUUGAGGAACACCAGUGGCGAAGGCGGCUCUCUGGCCUGUGACUGACGCUGAGGCGCGAAAGCGUGGGGAGCGAACAGGAUUAGAUACCCUGGUAGUCCACGCC